AGGACGAACGCUGGCGGCGCGCUUAACACAUGCAAGUCGAGCGAGAACCAGGCCUUCGGGCCUGGGGAAAGCGGCGAACGGGUGAGUAACACGUGGGUAACCCACCCUUGGUACCGGGAUAGCCCGAGGAAACUCGGAUUAAUACCGGAUGGCCCAACAGCUCUUCGGGGCGGUUGGAAAAGGUAGCUUCGGCCUCCGACCAAGGACGGGCCCGCGGCGGAUUAGCUUGUUGGUGAGGUAACGGCUCACCAAGGCGACGAUCCGUAGCUGGUCUGAGAGGACGAUCAGCCACACUGGGACUGAGACACGGCCCAGACUCCUACGGGAGGCAGCAGUAGGGAAUCUUGCGCAAUGGGCGAAAGCCUGACGCAGCAACGCCGCGUGGGGGAUGAAGGCCUUCGGGUUGUAAACUCCUUUAGUGGGAACGAAACUGACGGUACCCACAGAAAAGCCCGGACUAACUACGUGCCAGCAGCCGC
rnacentral:rRNA from 1 species